ensembl:lncRNA
UUUUUUUUUUUUUUUGAGACGGAGUUGCCUAGGCUGGCGUGCAGUGGCACCAUCUCAGCUCAAAACAACCUAUGCCUCCCGGGUUUAUGCAAUUCUCCUGCCUCAGCCUCCCCAGUAGCUGGGACUACAGGUGCGCACCACUAUGCCUGGCUAAUUUUUGCAUUUUUAGUAGAGACGGGGGUUUCACUAUGUUGGCCAGGCUGCUCUCGAACUCCUGACCUCAUGAUCUGCCUGCCUUGGCCUCCCAAAGUGCUGGGAUUACAGGUGUGAGCCACCGUGCUUGACCCAUGAUUAGGUCUUUAGGGCAGAGCUCUCAUGAAUGGGAUUGGUGCCCUUAUAAAAUACAGGUUGAGUAUCCCUAAUCUGAAAAUCCAAAAUCUAAAAUGCUGCAAAAUCUGAAACUUUCUGUCAAUGUGAUACUCGAAAGGAAAUGCUCCCUGGAGCAUUUCGGAUUUGAAAUGUUUGGAUUAGGGAUGCUUAACUGGUAGACCCAUCUCUGUAAAAACAAAACAGCCAGCUGUGGUGGUAUGCCUGUACUCCCAGCUACUCAGGAGGCUAAGGUGGAAGGACAGCUUGAGCUCAUGAGUUUGAGGCUGCAGUGGGUCAUGAUCAUGCCACUGUAUUCCAACCUGGAUGGCAAAGUGAGAUGCCCCCAUGGGAAAAAAACCCACAACCCCAACAGAAAGUAGAUUAGUGGUUGUCUAGGGCUUGGGUGGGGGAUGGGGCAUGGAGUGAAUGCUAAUUGAGGCUGGGGUUUCUUUUUGUUCUAAAAAUGAUUGUGGUGAUGGUUGCAGAACUCUGAAUACACUAGAAGUCAUUAUAUUGUACAUUAAAUGGGGACAUUUUAUAGCAUGUUAACUGUAUCUCAAUAAAACUGUUAAAAAGGAAAUGCUAAUGGAAUUUGGAUACAUUUCCACUUAUUUGGUAUAUGCCAUUUAUUUUGUUUUAUUUUACAAACACUUACAUGGUCUUACUAUGUGCCAAGUACUGCGUUCCAAACGCUUUAUAAAUGUGAACGUAUUUCAUCCUCAUAACUCUGUCAAGUGGAUACUAUUGCUAUCUCCAUUUUACACAGGUACAGAGAGGUGAAGUAACUUACCUAAGGUCUUCCAGUUAAAAAUGGCAGUCAGGAUUUGAACCCUGCCAGUCUGGCUUCAGAGUCUGUGAUCUUUAUUUAUUUUUCAAGAGAUAGGGUCUUGCUAUGUUGCCCAAGCUGGAGUGCAGAGUUAGUCACAGGCAUGAUCCCAUUACUGAUGAGCAUGGGAGUUUUGACUUGCUCCAUUUCUGACCUGAGUUGCUUCACUCCUCCUUAGGUAACAUGGUGGUCCCUGGCUCUUGUGCGGUCACCAUAUUGAUGCCAAACUGAGGACACCCAAUGCUCGUUGUGUACUACAGCCAAGAACUCCUGAGCUCAGGUGAUUCUGCUUCAGCUUCACUAGUAGCUAGGACUGUAGACCUGUGCCACCAAGCCAAGCCAGAGUCUGUGAUCUAACCAUUCUAUUAAGCCACCUUUCCCAAGGACGUUUACAGUUUUUCUUAACUGUAACCAGUGCAGAAAAUUAAAAAUUCGUGGAGGAUCUUAAAUUUGAGGACAGAGUUUAGGAAUAUAUCCCUACGUACAUGGCUAAAUGUAAAUAUGUAGCAAUGCCUAAUAGAGGCCAGGCACUGUUCUGGUACUCUGGGUAGGGGUGGAUAGGGAAUAUAAGACAAAUGAUAUAGGGUCCACGAAGAACUCUCAACCUAAUUCAGAUGCAAUGUGGUGUUGGUAUUUGAGAGUUUCCAAAAAUGUUCUGGGUAGGAGAGCAAAACAAUAACAUUUGGGUUUUAGAAAGUAAGGCAUAAAACAAUUUAGUCAUUAAAUCAAAGGCGGUAAGAUCAGUUGGGAAAGUGAUAAUCCAAAAAUAGUAGUUAUUUGAGUCUCAGCAGGAGGAAUGAAAACAAAUUACUUCAAGGAAAUAUUUCAUAAUUAGAAAUAUCCAGGUUUAGAUACUGAAAGUGAGGGCCAGAGAUAGGAAUGGGUUGAAGAUGACUCUACAGUCUUUUUUUUUUUUUUUUUUGAGCCGGAGUCUCACUCUGUCGCCCAGGCUGGCACAGUGGCGCGAUCUCAGCUCACGGUAACCUCUGCCUCCCGGGUUCAAGCGA